GUGUAGAUCACAGGAGCCAAAAGAGCUCUAAAAAACCCAAACCCUAGCUUACAAAAUUGAUCAAAUCAAGAAGGCAAAUCAGUUCCAAAACGAAAUUCGAGCUUAGAUUGGUGAUCUCCACUGUAAGGGGAUCAUAAGUGUAAUCUGAUUUUUAUGAAGCAAGGAAACCGGGACGUCAAGCGGACAAGCCGGUGGUGAUACGCGCUUGAAGGAAGUGCUUUGAAGGUGAUGCUCGUUUGUUGUGGAUGUUGAUCAAGCAAGGGAAUCAAGAACCGAACACAAGUUUUGAAUGCUUCCGCGCUAGUCUAAUCUAGUUUAAAACAUGUUGUUUUGUAAACUCUUUUGAAUGUUGAACAUUUUAAUCUAGUUAGUCGACUAUGUCGAAAUACUAUA
rnacentral:lncRNA from 1 species